UAGGGAAUCUUCGGCAAUGGGGGCAACCCUGACCGAGCAACGCCGCGUGAGUGAAGAAGGUUUUCGGAUCGUAAAGCUCUGUAGUAAGAGAAGAACGAGUGUGAGAGUGGAAAGUUCACACUGUGACGGUAACUUACCAGAAAGGGACGGCUAACUACGUGCCAGCAGCCGCGGUAAUACGUAGGUCCCGAGCGUUAUCCGGAUUUAUUGGGCGUAAAGCGAGCGCAGGCGGUUAGAUAAGUCUGAAGUUAAAGGCUGUGGCUUAACCAUAGUACGCUUUGGAAACUGUUUAACUUGAGUGCAGAAGGGGAGAGUGGAAUUCCAUGUGUAGCGGUGAAAUGCGUAGAUAUAUGGAGGAACACCGGUGGCGAAAGCGGCUCUCUGGUCUGUAACUGACGCUGAGGCUCGAAAGCGUGGGGAGCAAACAGGAUUAGAUACCCUGGUAGUCCACGCCGUAAACGAUGAGUGCUAGGUGUUGGGUCCUUUCCGGGACUCAGUGCCGCAGCUAACGCAUUAAGCACUCCGCCUGGGGAGUACGACCGCAAGGUU
rnacentral:rRNA from 1 species